rnacentral:lncRNA from 1 species
AUUGAUUGCCAUGGCUGAAGUUGAAGAGACCAGAAAAACGUAAGCAAGCUGAAGUAAUGAAAUCAAAUGGAACCAACUGAGAGCCGUCUCCAUCGCCCAAAAAGGGAAAGCCCGUUCCUCCUGGCGAGGAAGGAUCACCAUUAAUAGUGAUCGGAAUAAUAGAUCACCAACAUAUAAGGUCUGAAGGUCUGUACCCAUUACGAAAAGUAUGCUAUGUACGUAUAUUUCUGCACGUGUGACUUUAUGUGUCUACGAGGCAUCAUGCUUUAAGAGCUACAAGACAGCAAACUAUUAUCUUAGGGGAAUGGUGGUCAAGUGGCCAGAGUCUUUGAAGAGACAGAAGUGUCCGAACUGUAAAAUUAAGAGAUCGCUUUCAGGAAGGCUCGGUUAGCACGCCCUCAGGUUAAUUAAUCCUCACAUCCCCUUUGGGGCCAGAACAGAAAUUUUCCGGCUGCGAGAAAGACUGUUUAGCAGCAACGUGGUCUGUAACUGUCUUUGAGACUUUUCCCUUUGAGAGCACCGAGGCAAUCCCAUCUGCUCAAUUCCCUCUGUAGUAGCUAAUGUCAGGGAAGCAAAUAGACAGCGGCGUAUCAUCUAUCCAAGUGGUGCAGGGGGCACUAAUCUUAACGAGCGGAGUGGGGGGGUUACUGUUCAAACAUUACAAGAAGUGGAUCUUCUUGUGCGUGUCUGAAUUGACAGAGCACGGUUGUGCCAAAAAUGUGGACGUGGAAGGUUUCUGAAAGAUUAAKCUCUAGCAGCUACUUAGUCUAACUUCCCCUUCACAGCAAGCCCGACUGUCGUUGUAGCUUCCAAAAGAGGGGUUGGGGGAAGCAGUAUUUGUGGCUUGUGUGUUCUCGUUUGCCUUGCUUGUGUGCAUGUAUAGAGAUCCGUUUUUUGUGCUAAUAAACAACUUUGAAUUCUUAUGAUUCUCUGCAGAGCUUUGAAUGGUUUUUUUGUUUUGUGCUUUGCUUUAUACUUUUGUAGGGCGAUGGAUUUUUACUAUGCCUCCAUCAACAAGCGCUGGCUGGCAAAGUUACGUCAUGUCCCAACUGAGACUCUUAGGCAAGACGGAGGAGUUCAGGAGUUCAGAACAUCGGGGAACGACUAUGUGCUGCCAUGAAGAACUACAGGCUACUGUCCUCAGCCCUUUGUAAGUUAUCAGGCGUCAAGAGCGGCCAGGAGACUCCAAAUACCAGCGGAAAGGUUCUCUGCCCGGUGCUGGCGAGGUGCCUUCAGCCGUAGGAGGGUCGGCCGUGUCCUUACCGGACUUGUGAGUAAUAAGCCGCAGUUCACGGACCAGCAAAGGAGGGGGGGGAAACAGCAACCGGUAGCCCAGUGGCUACGGCAUUGCUGUUGCUAGCA